GAUGAACGCUGGCGGUGUGCCUAAUACAUGCAAGUCGAGCGAACGGACGAGAAGCUUGCUUCUCUGAUGUUAGCGGCGGACGGGUGAGUAACACGUGGAUAACCUACCUAUAAGACUGGGAUAACUUCGGGAAACCGGAGCUAAUACCGGAUAAUAUUUUGAACCGCAUGGUUCAAAAGUGAAAGACGGUCUUGCUGUCACUUAUAGAUGGAUCCGCGCUGCAUUAGCUAGUUGGUAAGGUAACGGCUUACCAAGGCAACGAUGCAUAGCCGACCUGAGAGGGUGAUCGGCCACACUGGAACUGAGACACGGUCCAGACUCCUACGGGAGGCAGCAGUAGGGAAUUUUCCGCAAUGGGCGAAAGCCUGACGGAGCAACGCCGCGUGAGUGAUGAAGGUCUUCGGAUCGUAAAACUCUGUUAUUAGGGAAGAACAUAUGUGUAAGUAACUGUGCACGUCUUGACGGUACCUAAUCAGAAAGCCACGGCUAACUACGUG
rnacentral:rRNA from 1 species